CUUGAUUUUGAGUCCCAUCCACUGCCCUUGACACAAAAAUGUGCAUCUCCUUAUCCCCACCGUGAAUUCCAAGUUCUAACAUCUGAUCAAGCAAGACCACCAUUUUCCCUUUUUCUUUCACAGCGCAGGCAAUGUCAGUAAUCCAGGAAAUUCCGCAAAUUUUACCUCCCCAGAAUUGACCUACCAAUUAUUACCCAUGACUUGCCUCCUAGUCCAAGCAUGAUCUGGGUACUUUUGAGGAUUCGUGGAGUAAUCAACCAACCCACCCCAAUCCUUGGUGGCCAGACUCUACCAGAGCUGAAGGCAGUUUGAAAGACAGCUGUGUGAAAAGAAUGUGUUGCCCAGGACCACUGGACAAGCGCCUGCGAGUGGACAUGGUGGGUUUUGGUU
rnacentral:lncRNA from 1 species